GCUUUAGGUGUGAAGAGAGAAGCGUGAGGGUUUACACAUGGGACUGUAUGGUUUCUUAGGUACAGGACUCUUCUUAUGAUAGACAAUAGACCAUUCCAUCAAUGACCCACCAAGGAUGGAGAAGGACAGAGACCACAUGGCUGCGAGGAUAUUAGACCUCACCCUGGAGAUCAUCUCCUUGAUAACUGGAGAGGAUUACACAGUAGUGAAGAAGUCGUCUGGUGAGUGUGUGACACCCCGUGUGUCAGGAGGAU